rnacentral:misc_RNA from 1 species
UGACAGCUGAACGUCCUCGUCAGCUUAACUCCCCUCGGCUUGGCUCUGCUCCUCUUCAGCAGGAGUUCCUCGGGCUUCAUCUUCCUUUAACCCCAGUCAAACCACCGUCAUCUAAAGCAAAAGAAAUCUUUUGAUUGUUGUUUCAUACUUUGUUGUCAUUGACAACUACCCAUUGUAAAAUGAUCACAAGUGUGCAUUUCAAGUGAUCAGAUUAAAAUAGGUAGCUACAACUCGUAUUCACAAACUAUAGCCACAAUGUCGGGGCAAACUAUAGCCACAAUGUCGGGGCUAUCAAACGCCACAAUGUCGGGGCGAACAAUUGCCACAAUGUCGGGGCAAACUAUAGCCACAAUGUCGGGGCUACAAUAUUAAUCCCUCUGCGAAGCGUCACACGCAGCUCACUCUUCUCUGCCCAGCACUGCAGCACAGGCCCAGCAAUGCAGCACAGGCCAAGCAAUUCACCGCUCAUCAGCAGGCUGUACGGUGCGAUGCUCAGCUGAGUAUGUCACGCGCAGCAGUACUCAACGUAGCUCAGGCAGGCAGCACACACUCUUCGCACCUCUGGCCACGCUAUGUUACACGUGAAGUUGGUCGCUAGUGGUCACAGCUGUAACAUUUAAAAAUAGGCAACAAACAUCUAAUCGUACGUAGUCAUGUUUAGGCUAAGCUCCAAACCACAUCUCAUGUCGGCGGUAACAGUAUGUAGCACUGUUUUAUAUUGUCCAGCAGUAUCACUCAAGUUAUUUUUUUUUUUUUUUUAUUGGUCCAAUAUCAGAUAUUA